GGCCGAGGAGCCGAAGAGCCGAGGAGCCGAAGAGCCGAGGAGCCGAAGAGCCGAGGAGCCGAAGAGCCGAAGAGAACACCCGAGUACUGUCAUUGGUCGGGAAAGCCCUGUCUGAUUGGCAGAAAAGUCAUGAACCGCGGGCCGUGGGAAAAGCGCCGCCACAUGGCUACGGGUCGCCUCAGCACCUCGGGGUCUCCUCGUGCGCCCAGAGGAGCCCUCUUGCGGGAUGACCUUGUGAUGAGAGAGCCCGCCGGCAGGCCGGCUGUGUCUCCGAGGCCCCCAGACCUGCCCUUCAGGCCCUGUGUGUCCAGCAGGGAGCCUGACUUCUGCAGCUCCUUUUGGCUAGUACCCCGCGGGGUCCGUCCUGCAGUGCCGCGGGGACGGCUGUAAAUUGGAAGCCGCGCAGAAUCCGGUCACAGAGUUUUGGGAGCGGAAUCCGACGGAAGCGUGCUUCUCCUGGCGGUCAUUCAUUCUGUAGUAUGGGUGGCUGUGUGUUUCUGGUGGUCGGGUUUGGGUGAAAUCAGAAUGAAAGAUACCUACACUUCCUCAGUUUUAGAAACCUUCUUGUCAACCCGCCCCUCCCCUUUUAUUCCUAGAACAAUUUGUUGUAGAAGCAAUGUCACAGAAAUACUUUUAAAAUUUAAUUUGAGGAAUUACUGUGUGGGACAGGGUUGUUACUGAAAAUCUGAAAUAUGGGCAAGAUAAAAAAAUUAUUAAUCACCUAACACGAAUUCGUUUUUACAUUAAGGAUAUACAGUUUGACAUCACAUACCUGGAAUGUGGUGCUCCUUUCUGUACUUAGGGGUAAAAAUGGCGUGAGGAGGAAGAUGAUGAAAGUCCUUCCCGCCAAGUGAACCUGAAGUACAAAUGAGAUAUGGAGUGGAAGCUACAAAAUGAUUGGGUAUGUAAUUGACUUAGGGCAGGAGUGAUGAUGUCCUAAGCUGCAGCCAUGAAUGUGGCCAUUGACUAAGUGUGCACUGAGAUGUGCUCAUAGUAUGAAACAGGCCCAGCGUUUCUACAACAUGGUAUAAAGGGAGAACAUUAAAUAGUCAUUAAUUUUAUAUUGAUUAUAUGUUGAAAUGAAAAUAUUUUGGAAAGUGUAAAAUUACAUAUGCGAUUCACAUUUUUUUAAUAUUGGAUAUUGUUUUAGAGAGGAAGGAAUUCCCUUCGAGGAGAAAUAGGUCUUUCAAUCCAAAGUUCUGAAGGAAGGCAGCUGUACUGUUCUUCUUGGGUAGCCUACAAAUACACUGUACCUAAUUUUUAAGAAGUGAAAGCCACCCCCACCCUCAUAAAAAAGAUUAAUGUAAAGAAUAUUUUCAGAAAGCAGUUCUAGUUUUGGAAUUUUAUCUGGGUCACGUGAACAUCACACUACUGAUAAUAAUAAUAACACCAAAUUAUGAAGAAAUUUGAAUUAAAUGGGAAACAUGCAUAACUUUUAAUGUACUGAUAUUAAAUGUUUAAAGUUUUAGGUUUAACCUACGUAUAAUACACCAUAGUAUAUCUUUAAUGAUAUAGUAAGCUAGAAACCUGAGGUUUCAGGCAAGCUGUAUGUUCAGUAUUUUAUAUUUACUUUAAAAAUAUAUUAAUUUGCAUUAGUUUAACCCCAAAACCUUCUGGGGCCAGGAAUAUUAUUAGGUUGUGUUGAUAAAAACAUGUGUCACGGGGCUGGGGAUUUAGCUCAGCGGCAUAAGCAUCUGCCUUGCAAGCAGGCAGUCGUGAGUUCGAUUCCUGGUACCGAUAAAAACGAAAAAGACCAAAAAAAAAAAAAAAAAAAUGUGUCACAAGAAAAGGGGAGAUGACCUUUGUUUUCUAGAAGAAAAUUGGUGUCAAUUCAGAAACAGUAAAUCCACGGACAAUGGCGACACUGUAGUGUUUGGCUGUAAAUGGUUUACUUCUAUGGAUUUAAUUGUUUUAAACACAUAAGUUGUUUUAAUUGUAGAAUUUGCAUAUUUCUACAGGUAUACUGAGAGUCUAAUUAAGACGACAAAGUUUAAAAAAUACUAGCAAUAAUUAGAAUAGACUUCAUUUAUUAACCAUGAGAAAGAAGAAAAAAUAUUUCUUUAUAUUUGAAGAAUAUAUAAAGAAAAAUUUAUAAUAGCAACUUAUAUCUUCUUUUAGACUUUUAAUGAAUUUUAUGUUUUGAGGAACUUGAACUUAAUAAAAAUGUAGAGUGUUAGAGAUUUAUACCUCUAACCAUCAAAAUUAAAGACUGUAAGUAAAUUUGUUAGCAUAUUACAUUGUUCAUAAAUCAAUAGUCAAUACAUUUGAGUCUUUUAGACAAGACUCAAGUUUCUUUACUAUUGCUGCCAUAACAAAUUAUCAAGCAGCUCAAAAUAAUACCCAUUUAUUACCAGUUUAUUAUCUUAUUAUCUCCGUUGCUCUGAAGCCCCACAUGGAUUUCAGUGGACUAAACAGACCUCCUUUUCCUUUCUAGAUGAUCAAAGGAAAAAUCUAGUUUCUUGAAUGCUUUGGAUUUUGACUAAAUUCAGUCACUUGCUGCUGUAGUAAUGAAGGGAUUUUUUUUCCUGCUUUCAGUUGAGGGCUAUUUUAGCUUCCAGAAGCCACCGUUUCCUUAGUUUGGGCCCAUGUCCUCUGUCAUCUUGUUAACAAUGAUUUGUUGAGUGCCUCCUUCUGUGUCUCUUCCCUCUUCCAUUAUUAUUUCUUUGCAAUUAUAGCCAUUAAAAAAUUUUAUCAACAGUUGGAACCAACCUAUGUGCUGAUAGCAGAUGAAUAGAUAAACAAAAUGUGGUACCUUACUCAAUGGAGACUGCUAUAUACCAAGAUAAACUUGAGGCAUUUGCAGGAAAAUGGAUAUUCUUUGAGACCAUAAUAUUAAGUGAAGUAAAUCAGACAUAAACUUAAAUACCACAUGAUUUCUUUCUCUCUCUCUCUCUUUUUUUUUUUUUUUUUUUGUUUUUUGUUUUUUGAGACAAGGUCUCACUACGUAGUACAGGCUGAUCGUGAACUUAUUGUAUACCCCAGGCUUACCUCAGACUCACAGUGACCCUCCUGCCUCAGCCUCUCAACAUGAUUUCUCUUAUAUGAGAAACCUAAAGUAUAAAUAAAUUAAAGAGUAAAAUAAAAGAUAACAGCGAAUAGGGAGGAAGAUGCAUAAUUUGUAAAAGUGAGCAGUUCAAGAGAUGGAGGGAGGGAAGGGAAUGAAAAAAAAUUAAGAUGUUAAUGUACAUAUACCAACUCCCCAUUAGAAAUAUAGCCAUUAUAUACUGGGAACAUGUACUAAAAAUUUAAAAUUACAAAAAAAAAACCUAUUUGACUAGGUUGCUUCUCUCUAUGUCAAGGUCUAAAACUUUACUGCCAUCUUAUUUAUGGUAAUAUAUUCACAGGUUGCAGGCAUUGGGAUACAUUUUAGUUGUCCCAAGACAACAUGUAAACUCUGUAGAAAGACACCAAAACCUUUCAUGUGCUCCAAAUGUUCUCUCUUGUCAUUCCUGUGCCUGGUAUUUACAGACAUCAGAGAGGCACAUGGCCUCACUGUUCUCCUAUCAUCAUCGUUACUCGCCAUCAUCUUUGUUAUUUGGCGAGGGCGACUGAUUUUAUGUGGAUGUGGACAAUAACAUAUACUGGCUAUAAUUCUAAUACUGUUCCAAAACUUUUAAACUCUCUUCUAAACUUUGCUGCUGUUGUCUUAAUGAAAAACCGUAUUACCACUUUACUUUUCAGCCUGACUACAGAUUCAUUCUUUUGGCUGCUUUCUGGAAUGAUCUUUCUGAAAUACGAAACUCCACUUCCUCUAUCUUCUUCAGACUGUUUAGUGCCCACCCCUACUGCUAGUUCCUGCAAAUGUAUGUUCCAAAUGCUUUUUAGCACCAGUUCCUAUAGCAUCUAAGGUAUCACUUGUUUAUUUUGAUGUCUUCUUUUUUAAUUUUAAUAAUUUUUAAGGCAUAAGCUCAUUGAGGAUAGGGUCAGAGUGAUGAUUUUGCUCGAAUGAACUCAUUAUUUUGUCAUAGUAUAAUUAUUACAUUCUUUCAAUAUAUCUUCCCUCUUACUAUAAACUCUUUAAGGAGAUGCUCAUUGUUUUAUUCUUUUCUCUUUCCCCUAGUGCCCAGUAUGUCACAGUAGAUAGGAUUUUUGAAUGAAUGAAUUGGAAAAAAAGUAAUAUAGAAUACAUGGAUUUUGUUUAAGUCUAAAAGAUAUUUAAAGCAAUUUAUUGGUGAUGCAUAUUAUACAGCUUGUUUAUGUUUUUAGAAGAAAUAUAAUUGGGAAUUAAAAAUGAAAAUUGAGCCAGAGCUGGUGUCACAUGUGUCUAUAUUCCCAGCACUAUGGAAGACUGCUGCAGGAUUGCAAGUUCAAGUCCAGUCUGGACAUUUUAAAACUUAGCGAGACAGUGACUCAAAAUUAAAAAAAAAUAAAAUAAAAUAAAAUAGUUGGGGAUAUUGCCUAGUGCAAAGCCCUGGGUUCAGUCUCUACUGCUAAAAGAAAAGAAGUGUGAACUCUGGAGCCAACGUGCCUGAAAUAUAUUCUGUCUCUGCCAUUUGCAAGCUGUGUACUUUUGGAUGGCAAAGUUACUUGUCCUGUGUCUUCUGUUCUUUGCGAAGCAAGCACGGUAACUAAAUGACUAAUAUUUAUAAAAUGUGUAUUAACUGUUUCCCACAUAGUAAAUAUUCUAAAAUAUUUGUUAUAGAAAAGCACAAUAGUUUAUAUUUUCAUUGCUUUUGAUGAAUGGUUGUAAAAUACAGUGAUUUUUAAAAAAAUAGCCUUAUAAUGUAUAAUUGUUUUUUAGAGUAUUUUUUUGCUCUCAAAUGAAUUUUAUUAUCUUACCUUAUAAAAUGACCUUACAUAUUCCUUAAAUAUUUAGGAAUAUUGUGUGUAUGAUCUAGCUCAUAAUCUUGUUCUUUAUUAUUUUGUAUAAUUUUUUCUUUUGCUUUUAACAAAUUACCAUAAAUUUAAAGGCAGUAAUCAACAUAAAUUUAUUAGAUUAUUGAUCUCAAGUCCAGAAGUCCAAUACAUCGAGGUGUCAGCAGGCUGUGUUCCUUUCUGGAGACUUAGCUAGAAUCUAUUUCUUUCUCUCUCUCUCUCUUUUUUUUUUUUUUUUUUUUUGUCCUGGGGAUCAAACUCACAACCACGUGUUCACUAGGCAAGUGCUUAUGCUGCUGAGCUAAAUCCCGGGCCCCCUUUUCUGACUUCUAGAGGCUCACAUUUUACCUCUCUAUCUUUAAAGCCAGCAGUGUUGGUCUCUAAUCAUUCUAUCUUUAUGUGUCUUUUCAUGACUACAAGAUUUUCUGCUUUGAGGAAUUCCUGUGAUAAUAUUGAAUAUACUUUAUUUAAGUCAGAUUUCCCAUUUCAAGGUUCUUCCUUACAUUCUGAGGGUUGGAGGAUGGACAUCUUUGGAGACCCAGAAGUCUGACUGACAUACUGUUAACACUCUGUCAGUCACUGCUGAAGUACAUGAAUCAAUUUGAAAAUGAAGAUAGUAUUACCAACUGCAAACAGCCAUGUCAGUAUCAUUUAUUCCUUGGUGGGUGGUGAAAGUCACAUUUACUUAGCAGAGUGUGAAGUACUGCAGGGUUCCCUGACCAAUGUUCUUGUCUAUAAGGAUUUUUAUUUUGGUAAAGUAGGAAAAAGAAACUCAUACUUGUUGACUGUCUGCUGUGUGCUAGAUUAUUACAAUUCUAGGAGACCAAAACUAUUAAUUAGCUUCAUUUUAUAAGGAUGAAUUUGGAGCUAAGAAAGGUUAAAAGACAAGCCUAAGGUCCACAGUUAGUUAAAAGAUUGGUGAUUCUUUCACCUAGAUUGUAUAAUUGGUGAAUUCUUAAGCAGUUUAAAACAUUGCUCUCUCAUUGUCCUAUAUGGGACAAGGUGGUAGAGCAUGAAGAAAGAGAAGGCCUACAAGACUUAUAGGAUUAUUUCUAACCAUUAUUUCUGACCUGGCUCGGAAAGGCUGAAUAGAAUUAAAGGCUUGUAACUAUAAAAGCAAAACAAGAGAAACAAAUGUAGCACUGCUACAGGCAGUUUAGAGCUAGACAGAAUGAAAAACAAAGUGUGAGAAGUUCAAAAAGGUACUUUAAGGCCUGGUUAUAGUUAUAUAAAAAUAUAAUGUAUUUUUGAUACCAAUUGAAAACUCAGAAUUUAGAGUUUUUUGAUCAGUAGUUUAAAUCAGUUCUACCUUAAACUUCAGAAUGGCAUUAUUAUAAUCUGGUCAAUUUGAAAUGCCUAGUUUAAUCAGGUUUAUGAAAAUAUGAAAUUUAAUUCUAGUGAUAUGUAAAAAUAUGAAUGGACACCAAACAUUUUGUGUGUCUAAACCACUUCAUAAAUUCAAACAUAUGUUUAAUUUAUAUUUGAUUUCAGUAAAGUAUGUAUCACUGUAUAUCAGAAUUUGUGGGCCUUUGUUUUCCUGUAUAAACAGUAUUAAUAGUGAUUACAUUCAAAGCACAUUACACAUUUCACUGACAAUAAAGUAUAUAGAAAUAAUAGAAACUCAAAAAAACAAGAUUGUGUUUUCAGUUACUUGGGAGUGAGUCUUAAAAACGACAGUAGAAGGAAGCAGGGCUUAUAAUACUGUCUUCUCUUUUUCUCAAAACAUCAUUCAAAUUCACUAAAUGGAAAUUUAAUUUUGUACGAUGUCUGUACUGCUCAAAUUUGUUUAUGCUUUGAGCUUUCAAUUUAGACAAUUUAUCAUUACUUGGAGAGAACUUUUUUCGCUUCAGUCUGAUUGAGUUUCCUUUCCAGGGAAUAGAUGAAUCCAGGAGAAAUAUUUCCACAGCUUCAAACAUAGCCAAAAGCAGUGGCCAUGGAAGAACAGAGAAUUCACUCACCAAAUAAUGACAAAGGAAAACAUGUAAUCCUUUCCUAUAAUCUCUCUGUGUCCUUGAUAUAUUUCAAAAUUCUCUACUUCAUAGAUUUAAGCAUUUUAUUUAAGGUUAAAAAUUGGACUUCUACUUCACAACAAUAUUAAGCCCAACUGUAGAUAGGAAAUACAUGAGGAGACCUGAUUUGACAGUUACGUGACAUAACUCUCAUGGGUCUUAGUUUCUUAAUCUUUCAUCUGUUUGACAUGUCCUUAAAUAUUUCUAUGUUUUAAUAGAUUAGAAUUCUAAAGGCCAAUUUUUAUGGUUGCAAUUUCAACCCACUUUUGCACUCUGCAUGUAUUAUUUGAAGUCAUUUUUUCUAUGUCUGCAGGUUUCCUAUAGCAACGUAAUGACAUCUGUUAGAGAGGCUAAGCCCUAAAUUCUUAGCUGAACCCAAAUUUGGCUUCUCUUGUCCUCAGUUUUGAUCUUAUAAUUGAGAGGAUACUCCCACUACCCCUCAAUAGAAAGAUUUUGUACUGUCCUUACAGUAAUAUGCUUAAAGUCGUUCUGUGUAAAAUAGUUUCCUUUUCUACACACUUUUAUUUGUACUGUGUCUCUUUGCCAUGAUAGAGGAAGUCAGUGGGUAAUGAAAAAAAAAUACAGUGGUAAUUUAAUGUAACACCAUUACCUUAAUAGUCCCAGCAUACAGUGCUUAGCUUCAUCCCCAAACCCCAAUACUGAAAGAUCACAGUGACUUUUAGAGACAGGAAAUUUCUUCAAAAUGAGCUCCUGUGAACAUAAUAAGAACCCUGCAUAAGGUUUUUCUGAACAAGGAUUCUUCAUUUAUUACUUCAAAAGUUCAGGACUGGUUUGAUGUCAAUAUUCUUAUAUCCCUCAAAAAUGUGAAAAGAAUAAAGGUUAUAUAGAUAGAGUGCAAUUUCAGAAAUUAAAGCCUGGAAAGAAUUGGGAAGUCUAAAUCUUUUUUGAGAAUGCAAAUUAAUGCAAUUUUCCUUCUGAUUUUUAAAGAAUCUAAUGGCUAAACAUUGCUUCUGAGUGGCUGUGGGUCACAGAAAUGUCUUAAAAUUUGAAUAAAGAUAAUGCUGUAGAAGAAGUAGACUUGGAAUGUAGGAGGCUUGAUCACUUGUGUCCAUCAUGCACAGUCAGUUGAGUUGAGUGCUCUUGGAAAAUGAUGCCAUUUCUGAGGGUGUCACUACCUUAUGUUAAAGAAAAUGAAGUGUAUGGAAGAGAUCAAUUCUGUACAUUUUUUCAGUUCUAAACUUAUGUGAUUCUAAGUGUGAAUUGUCAAACAUCUCUUGAUACUUUGGAUUACCCCCAGGCAUUAAGGUGAAUGUAAGUGCUGCUUAGCGAGGCUUAGCCAGUCUCUAGAAUAGUACUGGAAAGUUUAAUCUACUUAGAUGCCCUAAACUUCCCCAAGGAGAAAACAAGCCCUAAACAUGUAGGAUUAAGCUUGCCACUGUUGUACCAUCUCUAAAUGCUUUAUUUCAUAAUUCAGAUUCAGUAACUUCCAAGUAUUCUUUUUAGCUAUUAUUACAGAGAGAGAAUAAUAGAUUAUAUUACUAUUAUUUCUAUUAUUUCUUUGCUGAUUUCAAAGUUUAUUUUUUAAAAAUUAUGCUUGUUUAAAAAUCUUGCUAUUCAUGCAAUGAUAACCAAUGAAAUGAAGGUUUUUUUAAAAUUAAUUUUUUUUAGUUACACAUGACACCAUGGGAGGAUGCAAACACAGUGAGACAAGUGCUCACCCUGAAAUACUUUGUAUGACAAGAGAAAGGGAAAAAAUUUAAAAUAAAAGAAACUGUAAAGUAUCAAAGUAUGUGAAAUACUAUGCAGGAUAAUGAAAUUAUUCUAAAAGGGAGAAUAUGUCCACUAGCUUUUUAAAACAAUAAUCUUUGUUAAAGAUUAUCUUCUUGUGAAACUUACGGAAGUGUUUCUUUUCCCAGUCUAAAAAGCUCUCUUUUAAGGUAACUGUUGCAGCAUUAUUUUUAAUUAUUACAGCUAAACAUUUAUUUCCUUCUUAUAUUCACAUACUUCCAAGGGAAUUUGGAACAAGGAGGAUUUUCAUAGCUGUUUAGAGUAAUGAGCACUUUGGACUUUAUAAUUACAAAUAUUAUUUCCCAUUUCUGUCUAAGUGCAGGCUGUAUUCUCUGUGGUAUUGAACCUUCCAAGUUGUGUUAUAGCAGUGUAAUGUAGGAUUUGUGCCUGAACAUCUAAACAUUGGAAAGUCUCUAGGAUACAUUGAAACAAAUUUAUUGCAGCUAGCUUUAUUAUGAGUUUUCUUUUUUAUGUGGUUAGUAGAUUAUCCAAUAAAAAUAUGAUUUAGAAAAUAAAAUUUUAUAAAUUUCUCUUGAUUCUUAAGCACUUGUAUCUCAAACACAAAACAGUAAUGAAGCCUGGUUAUGUAUAGUCUGACUGCCUGAAAGUGUCUAGACAUGUUUAUAAACUUAAGACAACCAGAAAAAUGCUCAUUUUGGGGAAAUCAGUAUAAAUGCUGCUUAUUUAUCUAAACCUUAAAUCAUAUCAACAUAUGCUUAUAUAGUGUUUAGUGAAAGUAAAUAUUUCUAAGUGUUGUCAUUUAUAAUCUUUUAAAAUAAUGCUAUGUCACAAUAAUAUUAUUCAGGGUGACUCAGAUUUCUGAUUAAAGGUAGGUUAUUUCCCUCUAUUUUGUGAAAUAGAUAAUAUUUUAUAACACAAAAUAUGUACCAGACACUUAAAUAUUUUUCUAUUAUAAAUACAAUCAAAAUUGGUAUGAAUCUAUGUGGAAAGCCCUGGUGUUAUCAAAUUUCCAUUUUAUAGCUGAGGAAAAUAAGGCACAAAGAGAUUUAAAUAAAUUACCCCCGUUUAAAUUAGAAAGGGUCAGAAUUUAUUUUAGGCACACUAUACUGCAUCAACUCUUCAUUAUGAAGCUGUGCCUCCUGUUAGUAAAACAGUCUGCACCUCAGUUGUUCCUGUUUUGGAAGGGAGCCAUACUUUAAACUUGAGCACCUGCAGCCAAAAUCUGUUUUUCACUUAAUCAAUCAAUAAAAAAUAAGAUGAGAAGAAUUCAAAUAACUAGCUUGAGGCCAGGACUUGCUGCAUAAUUUCAGGGCUCAAUACAAAAUUAAAAUACUUUUUCAAAACAGUACUUUUUGAAAAAAGUAUUAAAGGCUAAAAUAUGAAGCCUUAUGCUUGCUUUUCCAGGCUUUUUGCCAUAGAUUUGUUGUUAUAGAUUUUUAUUGGCAUUUUCUAUCAUACUAAGAAAAAUAAAAUUUUAAAAUAUUAGCUUAUUUGUCAUUCAUAUUUAUAUUGUGCAAUGCCUAUUUUAAGUACAAAUAUAAAAAUAUUAAAUUUAUAUAUAGAGGCACCAAAAUUACACUGUUCUUUUUUAAAGAUUUUUUUUGUAGCUUACAGAUUAAUAUCUUUCUUUUUCUCUUAUCAUAACAGUGAGAACUCCGUAGAAAGACAUCUUAACUUUUAAAAUUGCACUUCUUGACACACAUUCUCCCAAUACUCUGUACCUUUGGCUUAUUGGUGAGUAUAGAAAAAUGAAAGAAAAAAGAACAUAGGUAGUCUUUUUCUAUCCUUUGCUUUUAUGUCAUCAUCUUCAGUGGAAAUAGUUCAUUAAUUCAGGGAAUUUACAUGAGUGAGAAAGGAUAUGAUAAGUUCUUUGGUUGUUCAUGUUUGUCAGAACAUCAUCAUUUUCUUUGGGUGCUUGAAACAAGUUCUGAUUCAAAUAGACAGUGUGCCUUCAUGGGGUUGUUAGUGCCCUUGCUCUCCAUGGUGUGUUGUAACACUUUAAUUUUGUAGUUGAUUUGAGUCUCUAAGUUUCCACUUAACUAUGUUCCUGAAUACCAUGAGCACAAUGUGACUAGCUAACAUGUGUUUUAUUUGUGGCUCCUCUGCUUAUGCACAUGAUAUGUGUUCUAUUGGAUUUCACUUACAAAAUGUCCAAAUAUAAAAUUACUGAGAAUUUGAGGAUACCUCUAACAAAACUCUUGAGUAAAAUGUUCUGGUGACUGAACUGGUUGUACAAUUCUGAAGAAGGAAUUGCUUGGGGCCAUUAAAUGACUUGGAAACUGAA